UACGAAGGGGGGCUAGCGUUGUUCGGAAUUACUGGGCGUAAAGCGCACGUAGGCGGAUCGAUCAGUGCAGGGGGUGAAAUCCCCAGGGGCUCAACCCCUGGAACUGCCUUUGAUACUGUCGAUCUGGAGUAUGGAAGAGGUGAGUGGAAUUCCGAGUGUAGAGGUGAAAUUCGUAGAUAUUCGGAGGAACACCAGUGGCGAAGGCGGCUCACUGGUCCAUUACUGACGCUGAGGUGCGAAAGCGUGGGGAGCAAACAGG
rnacentral:rRNA from 1 species